GUUAGACGCCUUCCUCUUGUGAUACCUACUUAUGAGUUAUUUCUCCUUGAACAAUAUACAUGGCUUGAAUGCCUCCUGCUUCAAUGGACAUGCUUGGAAGCAGAGAAGCAACCUGUCAGCUGUGUCUUUACAUUACCUACUGGUGUGUUAAGACCUGUCUGGACUUUUAGAAUCCAAGCUGGUUACUUAUAGGAAACUCCAGAUUAAUCAACUAUCUGAGAAGUCAACCAAAAUCAGUUCAGAAUUAUACCAACAGGCUACAAACUCUGUCCAACAUUGCCUUCUAGGAAGACUGUAAAAUGUUUCUCCAGAUUAAACAACUUACGAAUGAGUUUAUUCCUAGCAGUAAUUUUAUGGAAAAUGAUCCAGUCUCCUUGGUGAGUUAAGUUAAAGGAGUAAAGCUCCAAUUAUGCA